CAUUAGUGCUGAACGGACGUGCAGUUUUGUCCGUGUCUGAAGUGCAAGGUUACAUAACUAGAAAGUGAAUCAUUAUCUGCAGCAGCUGCAGUCACAGCGAGUCGCAAAACGUGUGCAAAGCUGUUGUGCAUAAGAUUGUAAUGAAAAAUGUGAAGGCUGAGAGCUGUGAAGAGUGUAAGAUGAGGACGAGCAAACGUGAGUCAAUUGGCGCUGCUGUCUAUUCCAACGCUCAACAGAAAUGAAGCCUUUGGUCCGGGAUAAAUACUCGUUUUCCUGCUCCUCGAUACGUUAAUGGCAACGAUGAGGAGGAACGGAAUGAAUCGCAUUCGCAAUCGCUAUUCGCAAUGAAUCAUCCAUCAUAUAAUGAAACAUCGAUGCGAUCCUCUCACAGCAAUGAAUUUAUAUACAUGCAUACAUAUCUAUGGGUAUUUUGUAAACACUGAGUGAGUCUUCACGUCUGUCCGUCCUACCUAGCCAACAGUUCGCCGAAGCAGCAGCGGCAAGCAGCAGCAGAUGCAGCGGCAGCAAACACCACCGAGUCUCCAAUGCCCAAUAGAAAUGCCAGAUGCGCUGACAGAGUAAAUUUUACUUUUGGGGACAAGGCGGAUAUUGCACGCGGCUACAGCAGCAGCUACAGCAGCAGCUUCAGCCUCAGUUCAGCUCAACUAUUCUCUAGCCUAUCUCUAUAUCUCUGUGUCUGGCUGGCUGUGUGUGCGUGCGUAUGCUUCGAGUUCCUGGUCGGUGCCGAGAGUGUGAUCAACGUCACCAACCACCAACAACAAGGGAACCACCACCACAGCAUAUCAACCAUAAAUGAGAAUCACCAACCUACUCUACAUAUGUGCGCGCUUAGGCAGUUGCUGAUGUGCCGCUCACCUACCAACCACCCAUCUCCACACAAAUAGCUAGCUAUCUAUAUAUACACACGGUAUUUGGUAUAUCAGCUGCGAACGCAAACAACAAUUUGCUUUUUGAAAUAGAUUUACAGAAGCGUAUAAUCGAGCGUCACAGUUGAAUGUGCCUGUGACGCGGCGGAAUAUUUAUACAAAUGAUACAACAACGACGCAACAACUUUAUCUAAUCAUCAUCAACAACGUCUACAACUGCGUCAUGUCGUCGUCGUCAUCAUCAGCAUCGUCGUGUCUUGUUCUACUUGUGGCCCGCCCCUUCUACAUAUGUCUACACUUUAUUAUUGGCAUGUAAGCCGCAUGGGAAUUUGCUUUUGUUAAUUAACACUUGCACAUUGCAGCAGAGAUUAUUACAAAUCAUGAGGAUGAUAUACUCCCCCAAAUGGCAGGCUCUCUUCUCUUUUUUCUCUCUUUUUAUAUGCCAAAAAUGUCUUUUAGCGAUGCGUUUGCAGUUGAACGGUGCCUGCACGUAUCUAGAACUUGGUUUAGAUGAACAAAACCCAUUUGGCAAAGGCAGGCUAUUUAUGAGAUUCUUAUACUUGGAAUGGAAAAUAUGGAAGAAGUUUUAUAUAUUAUUUAUAUAACAAAUAUGCCUUUAUUAGGGCUUCCAAUCUCUUGUAGCGGCGUCACACAGUUGAACGGUGCCUGUGUGCGUCUAGGAAGGCAUUAUGAGAUGAAAAAGUACUCUUCAUGGCGAAACAACUCGACUGAGAAAAGAUAUACAUGUAUAUGAAAGAACCCCAGCACGUAACAUUCUCAUUUAUAGUUUAGGACAACAAAAAUUUGUUUUCUGGUUUAUAUUUUUAGCGAUGCCAACGCAGUUGAGCGGUGCCUGCGUGCAUCUGCAAGUGAGAGAGAUCUAGAGAGUGUGAAAUGAAAACUCGCAGAAAGAUCCAUAUGGGAGACCAUACCAUACCAUACGAAAAGCGUAAAUCACAUUUUCCUUUUAUAUAAUCUGAACAAAAUGUCGCUUUUGUUUCAUAUUAUCUUUUAGCACAUUUGCUACUAUCAAUCAAUGAGGCCCACAUGCAACUUAAUGAUGAUAAUAUAAGGCUAAUUAUGGGUGGAACAGCCAACAGCUAGCACUACUAUAAGCUAACCGCGCAGAGUAAUUAAUGUAAUUUGCUACAGCCUCAAUUUGGAUAUUCUAUGUUUUUGUAGAUCUGAACUCUCAAUGCAUAAGUUAUGAUAGAACGAUCGAUUGAAGAUUACAGAGUGCAGACUCCUCUUGGACCUCAAAACAAUUCAUGUAAUUUAUGCGCUUUUGCCACAUAAAUAUGUCUUUCGUAUUUUUAUAGCAAUAUGACGCAGUUGAUCUGUGCCUGCGCAUAUUGGAUUAUAUUGAGACUGAUUGAUACAUGAUUGUCAUAUGAUCUAUAUGUCUACUAGGCGAGGAACCGCCGCUUCCGCUACAAUAUAUCAAGACAGUAUUUAUAUAAUGCUUUUGCAUACAUAAUUUUGGAACAAAAUAUCGCUUUUUCUCUUUCUCUCUCUAAUCGUAUUUUAUAGUUACGAAUGCAGUUGAUUGUUCCUGCAAGAGGAUUCGCUAACCUUUAAUUUCACCCUUCCUUCCUGCAGUCUUUAUUUAUGUCUAUUGCAGUGUUUAUGAAUAUACACAAACAACUUUUUGGAAAUGCACAAUGAAAACAACUACUGUUACAUUAUAGCAAAAUUUCUAGAGGCAAAGGGAAUCAAAUGCCAACUUGAAAGCCAAAAAACCACAACACAUCAAAAUCAAAAAUUUAAUACCACACAAAUUUCGAAUGUCACGAAUUUUUGUCGAUGAAUGUUGAGAAUGAAAUGAGAAUCGAAUCCACACAUGAUGAUGCCAACAGAAGAAGCGUGAGACUUUUCUUUUGCUCCUAAUCUGUUUUCUUUUUUGCCAUUUGCACUUGCACUUGCACUUUUUGCAGCGAUGUGUGACACAGUUGAAUGUGCCUGUGUACAUCGAUAUCGAAUUUACUAUGGAUCAUCAUAUAUAGGAUAUGUGUAUGUAUGAGAUGAGUUCCACUUUAAUAUCGCAAAUAUUUCUGUCGCUCAGCGAGAAUCGUUCAAAGGGAAUCCGUAACGAUGCAACGAAUAACGAUACAUUAAUGCAUAAUGUAUUUAGGGUGCUGUAUGUAUUAUGCUAACUAUCUAUGAAUAUAACAAGCAAUGUCAAAAUAACACCGCAACAACAACCAUUAUAACAACAACAAGAAUGCUAUAUAAAAGCUAUGCGAGAAAACCAGCUGUUGAUCGCGCUCUCGUACUACUUAAUGUUUUUCUCUUCCUAUAGAGCACAAAACACAAGCGAAAGCGAACUAACGUAUCACACAGAGAGCACACGUGCUGCCUGGGCGCGCUCAAGUCGGGAACACUUGAUGCAUAUGCACCGCAUAGAAAUAUGCGCUCGGUCCGCGCUAAAGGGAAACACACGCGUUUGGACCGAGACCCGCCACACCACACAAUAUCCAGCACUCGCACUUGCCUGUGAGGCGAGACGAGCUGAUGGGUUGUCGUUGUUAUCGGGCAGCUGCGCACGGCCUACAAGGGCAAAGCUAAGCCACGCCAAAACCCAAAGCUUCGUCGUCUACGUCAGCAUCCUACGUCAGCGACUACAACUACCGCAACCAAUGCUGUGUAUGCUCUAUAGAUACUUCGUUGUGUGUGCGUAUGUAUGUGUAUGCAUGUUGUUGUCUAUCUUUUCUUCUCUCUCUCUUGGUAGCAGCUAUGAUAUAUUUAAUAUCCCAGCAAUCAAGUCAAGCAAACAGCAGCAGCAGCAGCAGCAGCUACUUUCGCAAAUGGGAAUCAAAUGCGAUUAGUGUUCAAGCAGAAGCAUCAGCAGCAGCAGAUGAUCUAUAAAGGCAGAGCAGACAGAGUAAGGCAGACCGCCAAGCAAGGGGAGCGAGCACAGCGUUUAUAUAUUGCUUACGCUUUAAUUCUUCAACGGGUUGUAAUUCCUAAUUAUAUAUCCAAAAACCCACAUCCUUCUCCCCUUAGCUUAUAGAGAAUGCGGUAAUCAAUCUAUCACUCAUCCAAGUCCAUCGCAAAGGGAAUCAAAUGCGAUUAGUGUUCGAAGACGUAUCGUUUAAAGCUAGCUAGAGAGAGAGUAUGCAGUUCCCAGCAGAGAGCGCGCUCUACGCUACGCUUUGGCCAGUUGAGCGCUUAACUCCUGGCGCAACGUUCAGCAUACCGCAAUAGGGAAUCAAUUGCGAGGUGGUACUGCAGCAGCGCAACACACAAACAAACACACAAAGCUCUUAACAACAAACAUACACAAUACCAAUCUCUCUCUUAACAAGCGUACGCAAAGCAAAAACCAGUUGAGCAUAGCCUAACCCGCAGCACCUCAAAGCAAAGCAGAUGCAGCAAGCUCCUGGCCUAACGCGACACGCAAUUCGAAUCGUAAAAGGGAAUCCAAUACGAUAUACAACGAGACAGCUCGAAGCCAAAGAGCUGACAAAAACAUACCAAACAAACAUCCAGACAAGACAGACUUGAGUAUUAUUCCUCUAUUGUCAUCGUCAUCGUCGUCGUCGUUGUUGUUGUUGGUGUAUGUUACGCUUUGCAGGUAAAAUUUUAUGCUACAAUCACACAAUUCUUACCACACACACAGCUCUCAAUGCAGCUCAAUGGCACAGCAAAUUGUUGCCCAAAUUAUGACGAUGUUGUACUCAAAAGGGAAUCAAAUGAGACACGCGCAACUACACAAUUCAACUUUUGCAAAAUUGUACUUACAGCCGUAGUAGAUGUCCGACAUCCUGCUGGCAGCUGGAACAUCUUCUGGCGUUAGCGCCACCCCAUUAGGCAAUUUUAUUGUUAACUUAUGUCUCGGCUUGUAGCCAACAAGAAUUUAUUGUAAAACACUACUAUGUAUUCUGUUAUUGUAAAAACUGUGACAUGUAAAAGAUUUUCGCUUAGCCUAAGCGCCAACCUAACGAGCGGCAGAGGUCGAGGUCGAGUCUGAGGCAGUGACCUGAAGAGUGGCAGCAUUUCUUCCUCCCUUUCCUGGUGUGCUUCAGACAACAGAGCCCCUGUGUCGAUGUGUGUGGGCGACGAGAGCGUCCGUACUGUGUCCUGGGGCUUUCGACACUGAUCCGAUCCGAUCAAAUCCGUAUGUCUGCAGCGGCGGCAGCAGCAUUGAGACGACGGGCCUGGCAAGGCCUAGCAGCUUUUUCUUCAACUUCAUGUGAAGCUAUCUCGAGAUUUUUCUGGGUUUUCGACGACAUUGUUCGAUGUCCACCCAAUCUGCAGUUGUGUGAAUUUGGAAAGCAGUUCCAGUUGCAGUUGCACGUAUUGGAGUUAUCUUCGCUUGCUUUAGCAUCGUCACAUACUAUUAUCAUCCUACGGUGCGAGACUACGAGCACCAUCUACUAACAUUCAAGAUAUGAGAAACCAUCAAUUGUCAUCGACAUGCACAAAAAACAAAACCACCACCACCACAACCACUUGUUUCGCUUCGAGCAUGUAGGACUUAGGACUAGGACUAUCACUUUUGGAUCUGCUGCUUAUCGGCGCUAGUUUUUCUCUCGUUCUCUACUUUUGGACACACCCACACUUCUAAACAUAUGGUACACUGACGCUGAGGACAACUGCAAAGCUUCUCAUACGCUUUCUUCGCAUCCUCUACCUCCCCCUACGUGUAUAUGCAGUUGAGCCUGGCGACAGCGGGAUAGGCGUACUCAAGAUUUCGAAUCUCUCAAUAUUUGGGUUUAUCUACUUCUACUACAACCAAUACCAAUACCACUGCUAACUGGGCAACAAAUACAGAUGAGGCCGUAUUCACUUCUUCCUUUGGACUUUUCGUGGUGGCGUUUAGAAUUUCUCAGCAGUAUUCGCAAUUCUUUCGAAUUUUGUAUUAAUCUACAAUUGGGCAAGAAUCAAAUUUUAUUGCAUUGACGGCAGCGUUGGAAUCCAAGUAUCGACGGCAGCGAUGGAUCCUAGAAUUGACGGCAGCGUUGGAUCCUAGAAUCGACGGCAGCGAUGGAUCCUAGAAUUGACGGCAGCGUUGGAUACCAAUUUAGGACCGCAGCGUGGGAUCGUAUUAUUUUUCUUCGAGGGACUUUGUAGGGCUUCGUAGGGACUUAGGAGAGGGCGCUAGGGACUACACUUCUGCUAGGAUAGUUUUUCCUCAUCAUCUUGGUACCAGGGCGGCGAGGGAUAUGAAUCGAAUGCGGCGCGGGAGUUGCGGCAGCACUGACGGCGUCGUGGGAUGUAGCACAAAGGGUAAGACGGCGGCGUGGGACUUACUGGAGGCUCUGGACUGCGGCGCGGGAGUUGCAGCAAAGGCUGACGGCGUCGUGGGAGGUAGCACCAAGGGUAAGACGGCGGCGUGGGAAUUACCUUCGGGUCCUGGACUGCGGCGUGGGAGUUUUAUAACGACUGCGGCGUGGGAGAUCCUCUACGGUCUUUGGUUUUACUUAAUGAUCAUCGUCGGUAUUACCUCAAAUUAAAUAGGACGGCUCUGCUUAAAAAAUCUCUAAUAAGUUCAAAGCUGAUAUACUUCCACUUAUCCGUAUACUGGCAUCCUCUAUGUAGAACUGUAUUCGCCGUCCCCAGCAUUCAAUUAACAUGAACUAUAUAUAUCCGCACCCUUGACUUAACAUCCAUAUAACUGGAGCAACAUCAUCAUUUGUACAUCACUAUAUAUAUUUAACGUUCCUGGAAUACCGGAAAGCAAAUUUAACACGAUGAUCAUAUGCUGAACGCAGUUCAUCGCAAGCUACAGCUGAUUGACUGCCGAAUAAUAAAUGAUUAUUGAAAAAAUUGGAA